rnacentral:rRNA from 1 species
GACGGAGGAUGCAAGCGUUAUCCGGAAUGAUUGGGCGUAAAGCGUUCGCAGGUGGCUGUUCAAGUCUGCUGUCAAAGACCGGGGCUUAACCCUAGAAAGGCAGUGGAAACUGAACGUCUGGAGUGCAGUAGGGGUAGAGGGAAUUCCCAGUGUAGCGGUGAAAUGCGUAGAGAUUGGGAAGAACACCGGUGGCGAAAGCGCUCUGCUGGACUGCAACUGACACUGAGGGAAGAAAGCUAGGGGAGCGAAAGGG